UAGGGAAUCUUCGGCAAUGGACGGAAGUCUGACCGAGCAACGCCGCGUGAGUGAAGAAGGUCUUCGGAUCGUAAAGCUCUGUUGUUAGAGAAGAACGUUGGCAGGAGUGGAAAAUCUACCAAGUGACGGUAACUAACCAGAAAGGGACGGCUAACUACGUGCCAGCAGCCGCGGUAAUACGUAGGUCCCGAGCGUUGUCCGGAUUUAUUGGGCGUAAAGCGAGCGCAGGCGGUUCUUUAAGUCUGAAGUUAAAGGCAGUGGCUUAACCAUUGUACGCUUUGGAAACUGGAGGACUUGAGUGCAGAAGGGGAGAGUGGAAUUCCAUGUGUAGCGGUGAAAUGCGUAGAUAUAUGGAGGAACACCGGUGGCGAAAGCGGCUCUCUGGUCUGUAACUGACGCUGAGGCUCGAAAGCGUGGGGAGCAAACAGG
rnacentral:rRNA from 1 species